CGUUAAGUUCCCCUGGAGGCGUCUGUGUGUCUGUGUGUGUGUGUCAUCGGCGCGCGCAGGACCUGGGGCACCGUUGGAGAUGUGGAACAACAAGAUCAACCAGAUGGCCCGAGGAGUGGCUGGCUGCGUCCUUGAUGCACUACCGCAGCCGCUCCUGAAGGCCGGCACAAGGGUGAGAACACGGCAACCCCGGACCAGAGCGAAGCAUACCCCGCCCUGCCCGCCCCACCCCGCCACGGCCUCCUGAAGACUCCUGAGACGCCGUGAGCUGGACUUCCGGGGGCACGAAGGCGAGGAUGUCCCCGUGAGGCGGCGCGGCGGGGCGAGGCGAGGCGAGGAGGAAGGGCCGAGCUGAUCAAGGGUCUCGAAGCACCGACGGAAAGGGUCACCGGGUAAGGGUUGUCUCCUGCUGACUGUUACUCCUCAGACCAGACCAACGCUCCCCUGCCAGACUCCCACCAAACACACACAGUGACCAGCUUGUCCUGCUGUCGGUACGCUGCCCAUGCACUCAUCGACCCUCUUGUCUUUUCUCGGAGGUACUCUCAAACGCUUCCUGUCCGGUGUGUUAACCAGUUUUACGCUCCCUAAGACCGCGAUUGCAGUCUGCCAGCUGGAGCCCCGCCACCCUGUGAAAGACAUCUCCCGUCCACCAGGCAUCUUGUUGGAGGAUCGAGACAUCCGGCGGGGCCCCCCACACUGCGACGCCUGCAAGAAAUAAAAAACUAGUCAAAGUAAUUGAAGUGUACCUUAACUUGUUAAAUAAACACACUGACAGGGA